AGGGGUUUCAGUUGAAACCCUAGCCGCCUCACAAUGCUCCUCUCUCUCUCUUCGGUCAUCAAUGACCAAAAUGGAAAAGUUUCAGAGAAUCGGCUUUGUGCAGUCCUUAACUGCAUAAGAGCAUUAAUUUCUCUUACCCUCCCACCAUCAUUACACCACUAGAAGAGGUAAACCCUUUAUCUCUCUCUUUCUUUUGCUUUUUGGUUUGAAGAAGGACGAAACCUUAAUGGUUUUUGUUCUUUUCGUCUCAAUUUCCUCUCGGCAGUUUGAAGUCCCACAUUUAUUUUUAACAAAGAAUUUGGAAGUUUAGGGUUCUAUAUAAAGAACCCCACCCUUCUCAUUUCAACAAGUCUAAAAUUUUUGAUACACACCCAAGUCUCGAAUAUAGAGCAAAAAAUACUCGAUUUACUUAGGGAUUUAGCAAAUAUGCUGAAACCUUUAAUUAAUUGAGUUUCCUAGUCUAAAGUUUUAUUUCUCGACAAAGGCUGCACAUAAGAAAGGUAGGCAGGGAGGUGAUCUGGAUCCCGACUCGUAGGAGCUAGUAGCUGAUUGAUAGUACUCCAUUGUUCCGGAGGUAGGUAGGGAGAUGAUCUGGAUCCUGACUCGUAGGAGCUAGUAGCUGAUUGAUAGCACUCCAUUGUUCCGAAGGUGCCUGUGAUUAUUCCUUUGUGUAUGUAUGCAUAUUUUGGGCACAACGGGGUCCUGUCCCGUCCUUAUGUCUAGCACUCCAGUAGAGGCUCGUAGAUACGCAGUGUGGGUUAUAUGGUCUCACA